rnacentral:rRNA from 1 species
AGUAACACGUGGGUAACCUGCCCUAAAGUCUGGGAUACCACUUGGAAACAGGUGCUAAUACCGGAUAACAACAAUAGCUGCAUGGCUAUUGCUUAAAAGGCGGCGAAAGCUGUCGCUAAAGGAUGGACCCGCGGUGCAUUAGCUAGUUGGUAAGGUAAUGGCUUACCAAGGCGACGACGCAUAGCCGAGUUGAGAGACUGAUCGGCCACAUUGGGACUGAGACACGGCCCAAACUCCUACGGAAGGCAGCAG